AUUGAACGCUGGCGGCAGGCCUAACACAUGCAAGUCGAGCGGAUGAAGGGAGCUUGCUCCUGGAUUCAGCGGCGGACGGGUGAGUAAUGCCUAGGAAUCUGCCUGGUAGUGGGGGAUAACGUCCGGAAACGGGCGCUAAUACCGCAUACGUCCUGAGGGAGAAAGUGGGGGAUCUUCGGACCCCACGCUAUCAGAUGAGCCUAGGUCGGAUUAGCUAGUUGGUGGGGUAAAGGCCUACCAAGGCGACGAUCCGUAACUGGUCUGAGAGGAUGAUCAGUCACACUGGAACUGAGACACGGUCCAGACUCCUACGGGAGGCAGCAGUGGGGAAUAUUGGACAAUGGGCGAAAGCCUGAUCCAGCCAUGCCGCGUGUGUGAAGAAGGUCUUCGGAUUGUAAAGCACUUUAAGUUGGGAGGAAGGGCAGUAAGUUAAUACCUUGCUGUUUUGACGUUACCAACAGUAUAAGCACCGGCUAACUUCGUG
rnacentral:rRNA from 1 species